CCUCAGUGCUAUGAAGGUGACAGCGUGAGGUGACCCAUCUGGCCCCCCGCGAUGCUGGCAACACGGCGGCUGCUCGGCUGGUCGCUUCCCGCGCGGGUAUCUGUGCGUUUCAGCGGCGACACGUCCUCGGCCUGGCGGAAGUUUUGCAGGUUAUGAAGCGCCCUAGUCUUUCAUUCCCUCCUUGUCACAGCCUUGUAGGGCGUGAAGGGGUCAUUGCCCCAUUUAGGGAUGCGCACCUCCUGAUUUCCCGUCCACUGCUCUGCGCCCUGAAGUGGCUGAAAAGUGCUCUUAAAAGGAUGGGAAUCCCGUCGCCCUCAGCUGGUGCGCUCUCCACUGGGUCGUGGGGCUCCUCAUUUCAUCCUAAGUGAGCCCCUCCAUCACCUGUGUGUUAAGGAGGCAUUUCUUUCCCAUCAGUAAACACAUUUCGCCUCUUCGGCCGAGACAGCACCCAAGAAAACCUCAUUUGGCUCGCUGAAGGAUGAAGACCGGAUUUUCACCAACCUGUACGGCCGCCAUGACUGGAGGUGAGACAGUGCCCUUAGUGUGUUGGGUCCGGGAGCAAGGUGUCCCCUUCAUUGCCUUCCCUAUUCUGUCCAGGCUGAAAGGUUCCCUGAGUCGAGGUGACUGGUACAAGACAAAGGAGAUCCUGCUG
rnacentral:sRNA from 1 species